rnacentral:lncRNA from 1 species
ACAAAAACAAUGAAAUAUAUGUUUAUAUUUAAUUUAAUUUUUACUCAAAUUGUGAGUAAAUCUUAAUUUAUGGUGUUUUUCUGUGUUUUUGCAGAGGCAAGUACCAGUUACAUUUAGUUAUAUUUUGACUUUAAUUUAGUCACUAUGAUAUAUUUGUGUGUUAUGCAUGUCUUUCUAACAUUGUUGUAUGUUGACACAUUGAUAUAUGUUCAUUUAAGUUUUGAUUAAGAGUGAUUAGCCGAAUUAAUGACAAGGUCACUGGUUAUAAUUUUUUUUUCUCUCAAUACUUGGUCAAUCGUAGCAGUUUAUAGAAACUUGGGGUUCGUUAUAAAAGCCAUUUUGACACCAUGACUUUAUGGUCUGUGUUGCCAUUGUCAAUUGAAGCUUUUAAUUGCUCUUUACAGAGAUGAGUGCCUCUGGUGUGAAAAUAUAAGCAUUAACAGCAGGCUCUGCUGGGCUAGCAAUGGGACACUACUGAGUAAAAUCUUUGAAGAUACUACUGUUUAGCCAAGCAUGGUGGUGAACCUUGAGGCAGGAGAAUUGCUAUGAGUUUGAAGCCACAUAUUUUCAGAGCUGUCUGUGCAUUUCUCUCUUACAGAGUGUGACAGCGAUGACAGCAUGGGGGUGAAAGGCUCUCCAGUAGAGGAGCUCAGGGCCACGGAGGAUGUGGAAUUAGAAGAAGCUAUUAGAAGAAGUCUUGAGGAAAUGUAAUUAAAGAUAUUACCACACAACAUCAAGUGGCCUUGAAGAGACUCAGGAAAAUGAAUUCUUGACUUUGUUUUCUAAAAGAGACCAGAAAUCUACUAGGAUAAAUGUAUCAAAGCGUGUUUUAUUCUUUUCUAUGUUCAGAAUCUCGUAUUUGCUUUGUAUUUGUGCUGUUGUAAGAAAUGGAAGGGCAGAGUGCACACAGUGGAGACAUGAAGUGUGUUCUGACGGUGGGUCACGCUCCUCCAGCCGGCUUGGAAUCCAUGUGUUUAGGUCACAGUCAUUUUCUAGAAGGAAGGUCUGUGUAAACUUCUGCCUUUCCUUAGCGUUGCAACUUUUCCUGUGCUUUACAAAUGGCUCUGUUUUAUUUUUUUAGGAAUGAAAAUGAAUAUAAAUAAAAGGUGCCAUAACUCAGUUUUCC